CAUGCAAGUCGAACGCUUCUUUCCUCCCGAGUGCUUGCACUCAAUUGGAAAGAGGAGUGGCGGACGGGUGAGUAACACGUGGGUAACCUACCCAUCAGAGGGGGAUAACACUUGGAAACAGGUGCUAAUACCGCAUAACAGUUUAUGUCGCAUGGCAUAAGAGUGAAAGGCGCUUUCGGGUGUCGCUGAUGGAUGGACCCGCGGUGCAUUAGCUAGUUGGUGAGGUAACGGCUCACCAAGGCCACGAUGCAUAGCCGACCUGAGAGGGUGAUCGGCCACACUGGGACUGAGACACGGCCCAGACUCCUACGGGAGGCAGCAGUAGGGAAUCUUCGGCAAUGGACGAAAGUCUGACCGAGCAACGCCGCGUGAGUGAAGAAGGUUUUCGGAUCGUAAAACUCUGUUGUUAGAGAAGAACAAGGACGUUAGUAACUGAACGUCCCCUGACGGUAUCUAACCAGAAAGCCACGGCUAACUACGUGCCAGCAGCCGCGGUAAUACGUAGGUGGCAAGCGUUGUCCGGAUUUAUUGGGCGUAAAGCGAGCGCAGGCGGUUUCUUAAGUCUGAUGUGAAAGCCCCCGGCUCAACCGGGGAGGGUCAUUGGAAACUGGGAGACUUGAGUGCAGAAGAGGAGAGUGGAAUUCCAUGUGUAGCGGUGAAAUGCGUAGAUAUAUGGAGGAACACCAGUGGCGAAGGCGGCUCUC
rnacentral:rRNA from 1 species